CCUACGGGAGGCUGCAGUAGGGAAUCUUCCACAAUGGACGAACGUCUGAUGGAGCAACGCCGCGUGAGUGAAGAAGGGUUUCGGCUCGUAAAGCUCUGUUGGUAGUGAAGAAAGAUAGAGGUAGUAACUGGCCUUUAUUUGACGGUAAUUACUUAGAAAGUCACGGCUAACUACGUGCCAGCAGCCGCGGUAAUACGUAGGUGGCAAGCGUUGUCCGGAUUUAUUGGGCGUAAAGCGAGUGCAGGCGGUUCAAUAAGUCUGAUGUGAACGGCCUGGGCUUAACCGGGGAAUUGCAUCAGAAACUGUUGAACUAGAGGGCAGAAGAGGAGGGUGGAACGCCAGGUGUAGCGGUGGAAUGCGUAGAUAUAUGGAAGAACACCAGUGGCGAAGGCGGCUCUCUGGUCUGCAACUGACGCUGAGGCACGAAAGCAUGGGGAGCGAACAGGAUUAGAUACCCCAGUAGUC
rnacentral:rRNA from 1 species